GGCGGACAGCCCCAGGAGUCAUAAUGAGAAGAAAUGCUACCUCGGUACAGUGGACGAACGUGCAAACCACACAGAAAGUUUGAAAAAGGUCUACUGGAGGCUCUGCUUUCUGUCUCACAGUGACAGGUGUGUAAAGCAUGAGGUGACCUUGGGCAAGUUGUUCAACCUCAGUGUUAUCACCUGUAGAACGGAGAAAACAAGACUACAUACUUUGGAGGUAAG
rnacentral:lncRNA from 1 species